GAUGGCAAAGAAAAGCUGUCUCUCCCUUUUUCUCUUGAAAAGAAACAGAAAAAAGUUGUAGAGCCUCCUCUUGGUUAACCACAACCUCUGUGAGCAAUAAAGAAGAUUCAGCAUAUAUACAGAGCAGAAUGAGCAACUGAUUCAUUCACAGGGAUGGUGAAUAAUAAUUAGAAUGUGGUCACGUGACCUCUACAAUUAAGAUCCAGGCGCCACUAAGAGUAUGUAGAGUUGUUUCUUACAUCCCUAAACCCUGAUAUCUUACCAGAAUUACUCCUAGCUGCAAGGGCUUAUCGGGAACGUCAGGAAACACAAGGCAGAAGUGUUGAAAAGAUGCCUCAUCCACCCAUUAUUUAGUUGCUAAGUUUAUUUUUCAGGAGGAAGGGGGGGGCGCUAGGGGCCUCUCUCUCUUAGUAACCGUCUUAACAGCCAUCAUCAACUUCGGAACAGGCCGUAAAAAUAUACGGCCAAGUAGGAUUCGUGCCGUUUUGUUUUAACUUCUGUUGAAUUUUAACCGCUUCGCAGCUUGACGAGGGCGAGAUGUUCGAAAGAUGCUUCGGACGUUUCUCAAGAAGGCAGAUCACGCACAAGCGCAGAAGUAACUUCUGGCAUGUCCCGCAACUCUUAGUUCCUAGCUCACUUCAGAUGGUUGCCCAUACUAACAGAUUCCUCUAUUCGAUGACAUGCACAAGAUUCCCAGCUGGUCUCCUGUCUUCUCAGUGACCCAGACCUUCAGCAAGGCUGCUACAGGAUGUUUCUUCAGGUGCUGGAGAGAUUCAUCAAAGAAGAGGCCCCACCCAACCCCCUUUUCCUAAACUGCUACUUAUCCAAAUUGACAACAUUUCCACCACUUACCCUUGGAUAAUUCUUUAUUCCACGUAUCUGCUUUGCCACAUGUCACCAGGAACAGGAAAACAUGGCCAAGAACCGACAAUGUGAGGCACAGAUUUAUUUAUUUUUUAAGGAGGAGAGGGUGAAUAAAAGUAGAAUCAUUAUUGUUUAAAGCCA